UACGAAGGGGGCUAGCGUUGCUCGGAAUCACUGGGCGUAAAGGGCGCGUAGGCGGCCAUUCAAGUCGGGGGUGAAAGCCUGUGGCUCAACCACAGAAUUGCCUUCGAUACUGUUUGGCUUGAGUUUGGUAGAGGUUGGUGGAACUGCGAGUGUAGAGGUGAAAUUCGUAGAUAUUCGCAAGAACACCAAUGGCGAAGGCAGCUCGCUGGAACGGUACUGACGCUGAGGCGCGAAAGCGUGGGGAGCGAACAGG
rnacentral:rRNA from 1 species